rnacentral:lncRNA from 1 species
AUGUGAAAUACGAGCUGAGUCAGUCUCCAGUGACCGUGAAGAGCUACAGGAGUGAAAACAUUCAGGCGAGCGCUCAUAGAGAUUUCAGUGCCGUUCGUGACGAGGCCAUGAACAUGAUCCACAAAGCUUUUGCCAUGUUAGAUGAGGAAUUCCAAAAACUAGACAGAGAAAAGGAAGCACUUGCGCGGGACACAGAGGCUCUACAGAAUGAGCGCGACGCUCAGAACCAGCAUCUGCUGAGACAGAAACAGGAACUUCAGGAUAUGCUGGAAAGACACAGGACUCAGAACGAGGCCUGGCUGCGUGCGCGAGCAGACGAGAACGACAGGGAGAGGAAGGAGCUGUGUAAACUACGGGAGGAGGUGCUCCAGGAGCAGGAGCGGCUGAAAGAGGAGCAGUGCAAUAUCCAAAAGCGCAGUGAGCAGCUCCUGUCCAUUAUGCAGCAGUUCAAAGGCAUGUGAAGACACUGUCUCCAUGGCAACCGCAGAGGGAGACGGCGUUAUUUUUGAUGCCACUCCCUUACUGAGAGAUAUUUGGGUUUGUCUGGCUGAUGAUGAUUUGGUUAUUCCACCGCGCGUGUGUGUGUGUGUGUGUGUGUGUGUGUGUGUGUGUUAAUGAACGUCACAAUGCAUUAGAUGACCUCAUUGCUGAUUUGUGACGCAUGUGAAAAGAUUUUUCUGAGACAUGAUGAAGUAAACCAAGGUUUACCAC